GGAAUGAUAUCAAUAUUAUGGUUGAAUGAGUUGAUUUUGAAUGAUGCUCCUACAAAAUUACACAGCAUGAUUUCAGGAAACUGAUUUUAUUUAAUGUUUAUGGAAUAUUAAAAAAAUACUAUUGCUUACAGGAAUGCAAUAAUUUCAGCUUCCUGAUUGUUUUACUUAAUAGUUUGUUAAGAUGAAAACAAUAACAUUAAUUACAUGAAGGCAUAAUAAAUACCCAAGAAUUGGUAGGAAUGUAGUCUAUCUAACUGAAUAUUGGAUAGACAUCUCUGGUACGCUAUAAAUAUAUUUAUUUAUUUGUGUACUACCAUCUGCGUGUCAAUCUAUUCUUAUUUUGUCAACCACUGGGGCUCGAUCUCAGGUCCUGGGAACUGCCUGUCAGCUCAAUUUUCCACAGAAUGGCAUGCUGACACUCACCCAUUCAUGAACUGGGCCUCAGGGGCUGUGAGUUCAGAUGCCAGCACUUCUAAAAAAUGAAUCAUGGAGUAAGAAGCUAAUGGUGACACGUUUUCCUUUUAUGUGAAAGUCCUGGGUGUCAGGAACUGAUUGAAUAGGUGCUGGAGUAGGUGGCUCAGUGUCCCCAUGUGGCUGGAACCAAGGUGGUCCUCUCAUUCUGGAGGUGGGCUGUUUGUCAGGAGCUGUUUCACUCAGUCUGUUGUAUGAGCUCCAUGAGCUGGGAAAUCAGCAAGACCUCAGUAAGUAUUCCUCACAUAGGACUUUUCAAAUGGGUUGGUGAAAUGUUGAGCUGAGCUCCCACCUUCUCAGGAUUUACUCUUCUGCUUAGAAAUUGAUGCUAGAUGUUGGAAAAGAGCUCAAGGAAGAAUGCCAUUUAAAGCCUUAUAUCUUUAUUCUGUAUCAGGGUAUUUUCCUACUACUUUGGUUGUUGAGAGUGUCUACAAGAACAAGCAUUCCCUGGGGAGCAGGGAGAUGCCAUAUGAGGUUUACUUAGUGAGAUUUCCUAGUGACUUGCUAUCACUUGUACUGCAUUUUGCAAAUCAAAUCUGUCAAAACCAUUUUAAGGGAUAAGAGGAGUGGUAAAAGAACUUCUAGACAUAAAUACUUCUUCAAUAUAUUUGGUUCCAAGCAUUCUGUCUAAGGCAUAUUCAACAACUAGUGAAACUUGUGUUGUCUGUAGCUAUGUGUCUUUCUCUAGGUGUGCAUGUAUACAUGGGUAUAUGUAUGUGUGUAUUUUUGUGUAUAUUAACAUGCAUGUCUACAUA